GACGAACGCUGGCGGCGUGCUUAACACAUGCAAGUCGAACGGUGAACGAGGGAGCUUGCUCCCUCCGGAUCAGUGGCGAACGGGUGAGUAACACGUGGGCAAUCUGCCCCGAACUCUGGGAUAAGCGUUGGAAACGACGUCUAAUACCGGAUACGACGCGGGAGGGCAUCCUCUCCGCGUGGAAAGAACUUCGGUUCGGGAUGAGCUCGCGGCCUAUCAGCUUGUUGGUGAGGUAACGGCUCACCAAGGCGACGACGGGUAGCCGGCCUGAGAGGGUGACCGGCCACACUGGGACUGAGACACGGCCCAGACUCCUACGGGAGGCAGCAGUGGGGAAUAUUGCACAAUGGGCGCAAGCCUGAUGCAGCAACGCCGCGUGAGGGACGACGGCCUUCGGGUUGUAAACCUCUUUUAGCAGGGAAGAAGCGGAAGUGACGGUACCUGCAGAAAAAGCACCGGCUAACUACGUG
rnacentral:rRNA from 1 species